GUCUAAGUCCAUUCCAAGUUUAGGCUUCUACAGGAAACUCCAUACAUGUGCAUUGCCAUCAUGGACCAGUUCCUACAUGUUCAGCUGCUCUGCGGGAAGAAGCUGCAGCUGGUUAGGAUCACAGCUCUGCUUUUGGCUUCCAAAUAUGAUGCUUUCUCUGAGUACUGAAGACUUUGUUUAUAUCUUAGACAAUGCUUACUCCAGUUUCCAAAUCUGAGAAAUGGAAACUAAUUUUGAAAGAGUUGAAUUUGGAGUUGGGCUGGACUUCACCAUUCUACUUCUUAAGGUGAGCCUCAAAUGCCAGGGAGGUCGAUGUUGAACAACACACUUUAGCCAAGUAUCUGAUGGAGCUGACACUCCUGCUGCAGCUGCUGCUUCCUGUCUGUCUCGGGUGGUGCUGGGCCAAGGAAAACGCAAUUUAAAGCAGCAGUAUUACACAGGAUACAUGGAGAGUGAAGCACUGGAAGUCAUGAAGCACUUGGCCAAGAACGUUGUGAAAGUCAAUGAAAAUCUCACCAAGUUCAUUACUGUCAAGUAUGCCAGCAGCAGACUCCUGAAGGUCAGGAUCCCUCACCUGAACUCCAAAACUAUCAAAGACCUGGCUUCCCCUCUGAUGGGCAGGA
rnacentral:lncRNA from 1 species